GCUGGCCUGCAAAGUUUGUGCAUGGCUGGGAACCGUUUUUUGAACCAACAUUCAACGAAGGGGAGCCCGACUCGUCGGCCCGGUGUGCAAUGUUCCGCCACGCGGAAAUGCCUGAAGGGCUGCGGAGGGCACCCACCGUCUAGCGACGGGUUCAUAAAACGGCCCCACCUCACGGCCCCGCGGACCGGCU
rnacentral:other from 1 species